AUUUCUCGUCUUGAAGUCAGCUGUCAAAGCCGUACAGUACAGGGAGGGAAGCGGUAUACACCAUCAUAUUGAUUCCGACCGUGACAGACGACGUACGUACUAGUCAGAGGAAUGAUGGGAUUUCUUCAGGGGCAGUGACGCUGUUUAGAGAAGAGAACGAACUCAUCCAUUCAGAUUUGAACGAGUUGGACCCGGCCAAGUCAUUGUAUUGCACAAUGAAUGUGUAGAGUACAAGCUUGUUCCUGAUGAGAACUGAACUCAAGGAAUCUGUGGAAACCUGCUCUAUACAGUCUUUCAUUGUCUCGUCUCAUAACUAUUCAUGAAUGCCAAUGAACUGUCAACUGUGUCAUGUCUUCCUAAUGUAAUUAUCAUGGUUUGGUCAUGUCAGGACAAGUACUGGCUUGAUCCGGAGGAUUCGUGCUCGCUUGACAGGAAAGAGUUGUGUUUGACUGAUCAGGAGGUGGUUCCUCCUUUGAUGUGGGUGAGAUGUCUUUUGGAACUGGUGGUGGUGGUACUUGCAUCCCUGCAGAGAAUACAAUUAUGUUUGUUACACGUUAAGAGAAACAGAGAUGUUGAUUGUACGGUUUCGCAGCAUGAUGCCUGUUACUGUGAGAGCAAUUGCCAAUGCUAGAAUGACGACA